rnacentral:rRNA from 1 species
CCUACGGGAGGCAGCAGUGGGGAAUAUUGGACAAUGGGCGAAAGCCUGAUCCAGCAAUGCCGCGUGAGUGAUGAAGGCCUUAGGGUCGUAAAGCUCUUUUACCCGGGAUGAUAAUGACAGUACCGGGAGAAUAAGCUCCGGCUAACUCCGUGCCAGCAGCCGCGGUAAUACGGAGGGAGCUAGCGUUGUUCGGAAUUACUGGGCGUAAAGCGUACGUAGGCGGUUAUUCAAGUCAGAGGUGAAAGCCCGGGGCUCAACCCCGGAACUGCCUUUGAAACUAGAUAGCUAGAAUCUUGGAGAGGUCAGUGGAAUUCCGAGUGUAGAGGUGAAAUUCGUAGAUAUUCGGAAGAACACCAGUGGCGAAGGCGACUGACUGGACAAGCAUUGACGCUGAGGUACGAAAGCGUAGGGGAGCAAACAGGAUUAGAUACCCUGGUAGUCCACGCCGUAAACGAUGAUAACUAGCUGUCCGGGUACUUGGGUAUCUGGGUGGCGCAGCUACGCAUUAAGUUAUCCGUCCGUCGGGUAGGUACGGUCGCGAGAAGUUAAAACGUUAAAGGUAAGUUAGACGGACGUAGAGACGUAGCCGACGGACGACGACGAGGGAGUAGG